rnacentral:rRNA from 1 species
GACGUAGGGCGCGAGCGUUGUCCGGAUUUAUUGGGCGUAAAGAGCUCGUAGGCGGCUUGUUGCGUCGGCUGUGAAAACCCGCAGCUCAACUGUGGGCUUGCAGCUGAUACGGGCAGGCUAGAAUUCGGUAGGGGAGACUGGAAUUCCUGGUGUAGCGGUGAAAUGCGCAGAUAUCAGGAGGAACACCGGUGGCGAAGGCGGAUCUCUGGGCCUUACCUGACGCUGAGGCGCGAAAGCUAGGGGAGCGAACAGG